rnacentral:rRNA from 1 species
AUUGUACGCUGGCGGCAGGCCUAACACAUGCAAGUCGAGCGGGGUUUUCGGACCUAGCGGCGGACGGGUGAGUAAUGCGUAGGAAGCUGCCCGAUAGAGGGGGAUACCAGUUGGAAACGACUGUUAAUACCGCAUAAUGUCUACGGACCAAAGUGUGGGACCUUCGGGCCACAUGCUAUCGGAUGCGCCUACGUGGGAUUAGCUAGUUGGUGAGGUAAUGGCUCACCAAGGCGACGAUCUCUAGCUGGUUUGAGAGGAUGAUCAGCCACACUGGAACUGAGACACGGUCCAGACUCCUACGGGAGGCAGCAGUGGGGAAUAUUGGACAAUGGGCGCAAGCCUGAUCCAGCCAUGCCGCGUGUGUGAAGAAGGCCUUCGGGUUGUAAAGCACUUUCAGCGAGGAGGAAGGGUGGUGUGUUAAUAGCACAUCAUUUUGACGUUACUCGCAGAAGAAGCACCGGCUGACUCUGUGCCAGCCGCCGCAGUAA